AGAGUUUGAUCCUGGCUCAGAAUCAACGCUGGCGGCGUGCCUAACACAUGCAAGUCGAACGAGAAAGUCCCGCAAGGGAUGAGUACAGUGGCGUACGGGUGAGUAACACGUAGCUAACCUACCUUCGAGUGGGGAAUAACCUGGGGAAACUCGGGCUAAUACCGCAUAACAUCCGGGCUGCACAGGCAGACUGGAGCAAG
rnacentral:rRNA from 1 species